rnacentral:rRNA from 1 species
AUCGAACGCUGGCGGCAGGCCUAACACAUGCAAGUCGAACGAGUGGCGGACGGGUGAGUAAUGUCUGGGAAACUGCCCGAUGGAGGGGGAUAACUACUGGAAACGGUAGCUAAUACCGCAUACCAUCGGAUGUGCCCAGUUGGGAUUAGCUAGUAGGUGGGGUAACGGCUCACCUGGGCGACGAUCCCUAGCUGGUCCGAGAGGAUGACCGGCCACACGGGAACGAAGAAACGGUCCAGACUCCUACGGGAGGAAGCGGUGGGGAAUAUUGCACAAUGAGCGCAAGCCGGAUGCGGCAAGGCGCCGUGUAUGAAGAGGGCCUUCGGGUGGUAAAGUACUUUCAGCGGGGAGGCGUUACUCGCAGAGAAAGCACCGGCUAACUCCGUGCCAGCAGCCGCGGUAAUAC